UUACCAAAAACAUAGCCCUUGAAAAAAUCAAAGGUGUAACCUGCCCAAUGAUUUUAAAUUUCAUAAGAAUAAUCUUUUAUAAUAAAAUUUAAAGGACGCAGUAACCUGACUGUGGUAAUGUAGCAUAAUCAUUCGCCAUUUAAUUGAUGGAUAGUAUGAAUGGUUGAACGAAUUCUUCACUGUCUUAAAAAGAGAAAUCAUGAAAUUAAAAUAAUAGUUAAGAUGCUAUUUACUAUUGUAAGACGAAAAGACCCUAUAGAGCUUAACUACAAAUUUUUUAAUAAAAAGAAAUUUUUAAAAUUCUAAAACAAAAAGUUGGGUAGUUUAGUUGGGGCGACUAUCUUCUAAAAUUAACGAAGACAAGCAACAUUAAUAAUUAAUUUAUUGUAUAAUCCAUAAAUUUAACAAUUACAAAAGUAGGCUAUAAUGACCCGUUAUAAUCUAAUAAUAGAAAUAACGAUCAAUAAAUAAAAGCUACCUUAGGGAUAACAGGAUAAUUUUGUUCUAGAGAUCUUAUCGAAAACAAAGUUUGUCACCUCUAUGUUGAAUUAAGAUAUCCUGAUAGUGCAGAAGCUAUCAAAGGUAGGUCUGUUCGACCUUUAAAAUCUUACAUGAUUUGAG
rnacentral:rRNA from 1 species